rnacentral:rRNA from 1 species
GUCCACACAGUAAACGAUGAAUACUCGCUGUUUGCGAUAUACAGUAAGCGGCCAAGCGAAAGCAUUAAGUAUUCCACCUGGGGAGUACGCCGGCAACGGUGAAACUCAAAGGAAUUGACGGUGGCCCCGCACAAGCGGAGGAACAUGUGGUUUAAUUCGAUGAUACGCGAGGAACCUUACCCGGGCUUAAAUUGCAUUUGAAUAUAUUGGAAACAGUAUAGCCGUAAGGCAAAUGUGAAGGUGCUGCAUGGUUGUCGU